AGAUACCCCGGUAGUCCAAACCGUAAAUUAUGCUCGCUAGAUGUAUUUCCCUUCGGGGAGGUGUGUCGUAAGCUAACGCGUUAAGCGAGUCGCCUGAGUAGUAUAGUCGCAAGACCGAAACUCAAAGGGAUAGGCGGGGGAACACACAAGCAGAGGAUUGCCUCGAUUAAUUGGAUAAUACGCCAAGAAUCUUACCUAGGUUUGACAUCCUGAGAAUCCUAUCGAAGGACUGGAGUGCCUUCGGGAGCUCAGUGACAGAUGCUGCAUGGCCGCCGUCAG
rnacentral:rRNA from 1 species